AUAUUUUUUUGCCCAUCAGUUCCAUGUAUUCUUGUCAUAGAUAAAAGGGUAGAUGUAAAAACAGUCCUAAAAACAGCGACAAAGCAACAUUCACAGCACUAACAACAAAAAAGAAUAAAAAAAAAACCCCAGGCAAGCAACUGUUACAGAAAAAGGCAGCAACUAUCCUUUCUAAUCAUGCAACCUUUCCCACCCGAAACCGGGGUAACUUGACAUGGGUAUCUAACAUUUUUCCCAUCUGUGUGCUUUUUUUUACGCAGGUAGGCGCCGCGAGUACGACGAUGAUACAUGACAAGAAUGCACAGGG
rnacentral:lncRNA from 1 species